GGUUGUUUAGUUUAUAAAAAACCUUUGUUUUGAAAACAUAUAAAAAGAAUAAAACUUCUUAACAACCU
rnacentral:tRNA from 1 species